UUACGGCCAAAUCACGAUGAAAAACUAUUCCGCGUACGAUCCUCGAAGUUAAACGACGUUGAGCCUGGGCAGUACCUUAAUGGGUGACAGAUUGGGAAUAUCAGGUGGCCGUU